rnacentral:rRNA from 1 species
GACGAACGCUGGCGGCGUGCUUAACACAUGCAAGUCGAACGGAAAGGCCCUGCUUUUGUGGGGUGCUCGAGUGGCGAACGGGUGAGUAACACGUGAGUAACCUGCUCUUGACUUUGGGAUAACUUCAGGUAACUGGGGCUAAUACCGGAUAGGAGCUCCUGCUGCAUGGUGGGGGUUGGAACGUUUCGGCGGUUGGGGAUGGACUGGCGGCUUAUCAGCUUGUUGGUGGGGUAGUGGCUUACCAAGGCUUUGACGGGUAGCCGGCCUGAGAGGGUGACCGGCCACAUUGGUACUGAGGGACGGCCCAGACGGCAACGGGAGGCAGCGGUGGGGAAUAUUGCACAGUGGGCGGAAGCCUGAUGCGGCAACGCCGCGUGCGUGAUGACGUCCUUCGGGUUGUGAACCGCUUUCGCCUGUGACGAAGCGUGAGUGACGGUAAUGGGUAAAGAAGCACCGGCUAACUACGUG